GGCCAGACUCCUACGGGAGGCAGCAGUGGGGGAUAUUGCACAAUGGGGGAAACCCUGAUGCAGCGACGCCGCGUGGGUGAAGGAGCGUUUCGGCGCGUAAAGCCCUAUCGGCAGGGAAGAAGGAGGACGGUACCUGACUAAGAAGCCCCGGCUAACUACGUGCCAGCAGCCGCGGUAAUACGUAGGGGGCAAGCGUUAUCCGGAUUUACUGGGUGUAAAGGGAGCGUAGACGGCGAUGCAAGUCUGAAGUGAAAGGCGGGGGCCCAACCCCCGGACUGCUUUGGAAACUGUAUGGCUGGAGUGCAGGAGAGGUAAGUGGAAUUCCUAGUGUAGCGGUGAAAUGCGUAGAUAUUAGGAGGAACACCAGUGGCGAAGGCGGCUUACUGGACUGUAACUGACGUUGAGGCUCGAAAGCGUGGGGAGCAAACAGGAUUAGAUACCCCGGUA
rnacentral:rRNA from 1 species